rnacentral:sRNA from 1 species
UAUUCAAACAUUCUUGUUUCAAUAAUCUAAAUCUAGUUAUAAAUCCUAUUUCAAAGAAUAUAUUGAUAAGAUAGUAAUAAUAGGUAGAUCUACUACUUCUGCGACAUCUGGCAACACUUUGGCAACAGGGUUCAUCACAUACACAACAAGAAUGAUGUGAGUCAUCAUUCUUCAGUUGCAAGCCCUAGAGACUAUAGUUGAUAUGGAAGGUUAUUACAGGCCCAUGGAUGAAACUAGUGUAUGGCAAUGAAUUGCAGAAAUAUAAUCUUGAACUAGUACCAAUGUUCCAGAUUUGCUGUCAAAGAAUUACUCAGAUGAAAAAUAGUCCCAGUAACUUGUUGACUACAGAUCUAAGUUUUUUUGGGGGAAUAAAUUGUGUUUGAUGAGGUGCACAAGUCAUUGCUGAAAACCAGUGACAUAAGAAUGCUUUUAAACAAAUUAACUUCAACUCUUCUGAGUUCUAUUGAGUCUGUGAUUCAGAGACAAAUGCAAAAUUAUUUAUCUGGGCCUCUGUCAAACCCUACUGAGAAAAUAUUACAGGAUAUAAUAUCAGCACCUGCCAACAAUAUGCAUGCAGAACAUUUUACUUCGAAAAGCCCCCUCUGCGACUAUUGGCUAUCUGGAUUCAAAAGUUAAAGCAAAACUAAAUCAAACUCUUGAGUGGACUGAAUCCAAACCAGAGGAUUUUCAAAGAAAAAUAAUACAAUUUUCUAUCACUAGAGGAGCACAGAUCCGAAAAGCAGGAGUGCUUGAAAUAAAGAGAUUGAUGACAACAUUAGAUUAAGACGGAUUCAAGCAUCUCAGAAGGCUAACAAUGCAUCCAGGAAGAAAUUGGAACAAGACAUUAAAAACUUCAUACUAAAUAAGCCUCUGCAGACAAUGAAUUGUUUACAAAAGUUGUCCCAAGCCAGAAAGCUUUCCUAGAAAAAAUGUUAAGCGGUCAAAGUAUGACAGAUCACUUAUUUAACCAUAAAUGGUAACUAGAUAAUGGACAGGACAAAAUAUUUUAUGGACAAAUACUAACAGAAAGACAAAAAGAUUAGAAGACUGUGUAUGUUACAUCUUACUGGGGUUUUGAGGAGGACUCAUCAGAGCAGGACAACAUUUUUAUUGAGUCAAUUAUUGCUGACAUGAUACUUGGUGAUCUAUUUUUUUGAAGUUUAGUUGAUAAUUAUUGUUUAUGCAUAAUAAGUUUUUAAAUUGUUGUUCUUGUUCCUUUGCUUCUUAUAAAUUCAAAUUCUUCUUUUGAAACUGUUCAUUUUGAUAUAUACUUUUCUGUGUGUAUUCUUUAAAAAAUUGGGGAAAUGUUAUUUACUUUAAAAAAUCAUAAAUUUUUUUUCUCAUUUGCAUAAUUUAUGUAGAAUAUUUUUUUUUAUAUUUCAUUUAAUUUUUCGUUACAACUUGUACAGAUACAUUCCUCUUUUGAAACUGUUCAUUUUGAUCUAUACUUUUGUAUGUGUAUUAAAAACUUCUGAAAUAUUAUUAUUUAUAAAAAAAAUCAUCAAGACGUUUUUUUCUCAUUUGCAUAAUUUUAUGUAUAAUUUUUUUUUAUUUCAUUUCAUUUAUCAUUGCAACUUGUACAAAUUAAUUCCUCUUUUGAAACAGUUCAUUUUGAUAUAAACUUUAAUUCUAUGUGUAUUCUUAAAAACUUCUGAAAUAUUCAAAGAUCAUGUCGAUAAACAAAGAAUUUAAAAUUUGUGGUGCAGUUGAAUCAAACAUACUGAGCAUCCACUGUAUAUUCAUAUGCUUAUCAGUUAUGUAAUGAUCAUAAAUUCCACUUUUUUUCUAAUUCUUUUCAUUGGGUCGCAGUCAUCAUCUGACAUAUAUUUCAAGUGUGUUAACUUUGAUAGAGUCUAUAGACUCAAGUCCCUUGUGAUAAUUAGCUAUACAUGAGUUAAUAAAUUAUAAAAAUAAUUAUAUAUAAUAAAUAAUGAUAUCCUAGAGGUAAACAUAAUAUGCUAUGAUAUAACACUUGUUCCUAAUAACAAAUUAUAUGAUUCUAAUGUCACUGAAACUCAAUCAUGUUUUUGUCUAAUCCAUUUAUUUACUAUCGGAAAUCAGGUUUUCAUCUUGAUUCUUAAUGAUGACUUUGUAAACUGUUGAUAUUGCUUUAAGACCCUAAAUAAAAUAAUAUAAAUAUUUAUAAUUAUUAUAAUAUUUUUAUCACAUAACCAUACAUCUAUGAUAUUAUAUUUUGCUCAUAUAACAAAUAUUGUUCUAAGCAAUCAGUUAAAAUACUAUUGUAAAGGAUAACUGCAAAAGUAAAACAAAACAACAACAAAAUUAUUGGCAGAAUUUAAGUCAUUGG